rnacentral:sRNA from 17 species
AUAGUUCCUAAAUCUAUAGAUAUUUAUUUAUAGACAGUGGAGCUAACAGCGGGCUACGUUAAGUAGCAGAAGUUAGAUUGGCCAUCACACCUUCCGAUGUUAUUCCAGUCGGUCGCUCUGUG